rnacentral:sRNA from 1 species
AGGGAAAUUUGCAAAAUUGAUUAACAAAAUAACUAUAAUUAAGAAACUAACCAACAAAAAAAACAGAGAUGAUAUUUUGUAUAUAAACUAUAAUAUAUACUAAAGUACCCUUAUCUACACAAUCACCAUCUCUUCUAUGCUAUUACAACCAUUACCCUUGCAACCGUCGUCAUCAUCGCAUCCACCAUUAUUUCCACAAAUGUCAUACCAUCAUCACCAUCACCACUGCAAUCGUCACCACCAUAGAAACAACCAUUACGCUGUCAUCUCUACCACCAUCACCAUUAUUGCGGCCGCAAUUGACACACGACCACUGCAACCACCAACACAAAUAUUACUACGACCUACACCAUACACACCAUACACACCACCACCACCUUAAUCACUUCUUCCUCUCUUCCAUUGCUUGUUUCAUCUCUCUCGCCUCUCAUCUUUUUUUUUCUACUUUAACUUAAUUAAAACAGAACCGAACUAUAGUUUUCUAUUUUACUUUCAAUUUUGUACCAUUCUAUUUGCUAGUUAGAACGAAGAAAAAUGAAAACAAAGACUCACAAGAUCUUAUUGAAUAUUUUCUGGUUUGAUCAAUAUCUAAAAUUGAAAAUUCCUAACACAAAUUUAAACCCAAAAUCGAAUCGAUUUCAAUUCGCUUAAGGAAAGGAGAAAAGAGAUUAAAAGUAUAUAAACAUGAUUUUGUCAGAUUUCUAAAAACUGAAACUUGAGAUGAUUUUAUUUAGUUUAAUUAUUUUUGUUUGGGUUCUAUAUAUAGUAUCUUAGGGUUUAGUUUUCUUAAAUCAAUAGAUGUUUUAAAUUAGAAUGAAUUGAUAUAAAAAAAGUUAAAUUUUCUGGAAAUUUUCUGUUGGAUUGGAGAGAAGAGAAGAAGCAACGAAGAAGAUGAUGAAUGAAAAAGGUUUGUUAAAAAAACAUUACCUUUAGAUCAAUAUCUGAUUCACAAUCCAUUACCUUUAGAACAUAUGGAAUAUUACCUUUAGAUCAAUAUCUGAUCAACAAAACGAAGAAGAUGAUGAGUCAUGGCAAAUUGGAAAAUAGGGAAAUAAUACAGGAAUAGACUUGUAAUUAGUUAGAGUUUUUGGUUACUUGCUGAAUUACGUAAAUUAUA